rnacentral:misc_RNA from 1 species
UGGCUCUGGCAUNGAUGAAGAACGCAGCGAAACGCGAUAGGUAGUGUGAAUUGCAGAAUUCAGUGAAUCAUCGAAUCUUUGAACGCACAUUGCGCCCGCCAGUACUCUGGCGGGCAUGCCUGUCCGAGCGUCAUUGCACCCCUCCAGCCCCGCUGGGUGUUGGGGCCCUGCGGCCUGCCGCAGGCCCCGAAAAGCAGUGGCGGCCCCGCCGGCGUCCCGGGCGUAGUACUGUCUUUCGCCCAGGGCGCGCCGCGGGGUCGGCCGUUAACACGCCUCCAGGUUGACCUCGGAUCAGGUAGGAAUACCCGCUGA